CCUACGGGGGGCAGCAGUGGGGAAUAUUGCACAAUGGGGGAAACCCUGAUGCAGCGACGCCGCGUGAGUGAAGAAGGAUUUCGGUAUGUAAAACUCUAUCAGCAGGGGAGAAAAUGACGGUACCUGAUUAAGACGCCCCGGCUAAAUACGUGCCAGCAGCCGCGGUACUACGUAGGGGGCAAGCGUUAUCCGGAUUUACUGGGUGUAAAGGGAGCGUAGAAGGCAGCACAAGUCUGGAGGUAAAUGGCGGGGCUUAACCCCGGACCUGCUUUGGAAACUGGCCAGCUAGAGUGCAGGAGGGGUAAGAGGAAUGCCGAGUGUAGCGGUGAAAUGCAUAGAUAUCAGGAGGAACACCAGUGGCGAAGGCAGCUUACUGGAGUGUAACUGACGUUGAGGCUCGAAAGCGUGGGGAGCAAACAGGAUUAGAUACCCGGGUAGUC
rnacentral:rRNA from 1 species